UGGGGAAUUUUGGGCAAUGGGCGAAAGCCUGACCCAGCAACGCCGCGUGAAGGAUGAAGUAUUUCGGUAUGUAAACUUCGAAAGAAUAGGAAGAAUAAAUGACGGUACUAUUUAUAAGGUCCGGCUAACUACGUGCCAGCAGCCGCGGUAAUACGUAGGGACCAAGCGUUGUUCGGAUUUACUGGGCGUAAAGGGCGCGUAGGCGGCAAUUCAAGUCAUCUGUGAAAUCUCCGGGCUUAACUCGGAACGGUCAGAUGAUACUGCUUUGCUAGAGUGCAGAAGGGGCAAUCGGAAUUCUUGGUGUAGCGGUGAAAUGCGUAGAUAUCAAGAGGAACACCAGUGGCGAAGGCGGCUCACUGGAUCGGUACUGACGCUGAGGUGCGAAAGCGUGGGGAGCAAACAGGAUUAGAUACCCCAGUAGUCCCUGAGCGGGCUGGCAAGGCGCAU
rnacentral:rRNA from 1 species